AGUCUGCAACUCGACUACAUGAAGCUGGAAUCGCUAGUAAUCGCGGAUCAGAAUGCCGCGGUGAAUACGUUCCCGGGUCUUGUACACACCGCCCGUCACACCAUGGGAGUCGGAAAUGCCCGAAGUCUGUGACCGAACCGAAAGGAAGGAGCAGCCGAAGGCAGGUCGGAUGACUGGGGUGAAGUCGUAACAAGGUACC
rnacentral:rRNA from 1 species